GACAUAGGUGGCGAACGUUAUCCGGAAUUAUUGGGCGUAAAGGGUGCGUAGGUGGCCUGACAAGUUAUCAGUGGCAAAUCGAGGCUCAACCUCGUGGAAACUGGUAAUACUGUCCGGCUUGAGUACAGGAGAGGUUAACGGAACUCUAUGUGGAGCGGUAAAAUGCACAGAUAUAUAGAAGAACAUCAAUAAAGGCGAAGGCAGUUAACUAUUCUGUUACUGACGCUGAGGCACGAAAGCGUGGGGAGCAAAACGG
rnacentral:rRNA from 1 species